ensembl:lncRNA
GCCUGACUCUGAGAUCCCUCAAUCCAAUUCUCCUUCCACUGGACCAUUGUGAUACAGUCUGAUUCCAAGUCCAGAAAUUCUAUCCAUUACAGUGCAACCUGUGCUGUACAGUAUUUCAAUUAUUCUUCAAUGUUUUCCUUGGCAUUAGAUACAUUUAGCCCUGGAUUACCCUUAAUCAAUUAGAGUCUAAAGUUUGAUGGAACUGAAUGGCAGAGAAAUUAUCUGUCUUACUUGGAGGUACAGAGAAUGAGAUGUGUGUGAGAUGCUUUCUCUUUAAGAGGAUAACUCUUGCUAAAACAAUUCUCCACUAAGAACUUCCUCUUGUGCUGCACCCAUGGUCUCUGAGGCUUCCAGUAUUAAUUCUCUUUCUGGCAUCUAAGGAUAAGUCACCUUAGCCUUGGAGAAGUUUGUCACCAUAAACUUAGCCACAUUGGAGGCCAUCGAGUCCAACCUCCUUCUUUUGAACCCAGCCUCUGUGACUCCAAGAAUAAUGUCCAGAGCCCCAUCUCAAGAUCAUGCUGUCUCAUUUUACAGACUAUGGGAUUCUGAGCACGUCAAUUGCUUCUUCUGGCCUUAGUUUCCCACCCUCAGGAUGUAAAGGAUUUGACUAUAUGCAACCUAAUAUCCCAUCCCCCUUUAAAUCGGUUAUGAAAGAUAUGUAGAGUGUGCAUAUAUAUAUAUAUAUUAGAUCUAUAUAAAACAGAUAUUACAUAUAUAGUAUAAAUGGAAAAUAAACUCUGAAUGAUGGAGCUAUGAAGGAGAAGACAAAAGACAAAGAACUUUCCAUAAUGAAUUGAGUUCUACCAGCUUUGAAGCCAAGGAACGAAGAAGCUGUAAGGAUCUUAGAGACAAACUUUGCAGAGGCUGUGAACAGUGGUACUGAGUCAUGGAACUUCAUGGAGAAUUCACCAGAUCAGAGGCAUAACAGGGAAGAAAAAAGAGUUGCCCUCCCCCAGAAGGCAAUAUUUUAUUAUCCCAAAUUUACAGAUGAGGAAACUGAAGCUCAGAGAGGUAAAGUCACUGGUCACACAGUAAAUAAUAGUUCAAACUGGAACUCUAGUGCAUGUCUUCUAACUUCAAGCACCAAAUUCUUUAGUAUCAUAAGAUCAUAGGCCUAUGAAUCUAGCACUGGAAGGGGUCUCAGAAAUCAUCUAUCUAUUCCACCCCCAUUAUUUUACAGAUGAGGAAACAGAGAGUCAGGGAGCAUCAUUACCAAACACGGCAUUACCAGACUUGCAUAAUAGUAAGCUGUGAAAAGUAGUUCCUUCUCACAUAUUAAAAAUAUAAAAGUUUAUGGUGUAGGGAAAGCUAUGUUAGAUAGAAAAAAUAUUUCAGGUGAAGAAAUGGGUCCAUCUCCCAAGAGGAUGAAUAGAAUGGUUGUUCUCAGAUACUUCUGAUCAACUCCACACUUUUUACAAAAGAGAGAAAGGGAUAAAAGGGGAGAGGAAAUAUAUCAACUAGGAAAUAAUUAAGGCUGGUUAAACACAGUUGCUGAUAAACUACAAGUAAGGGGAUACUUAGAAAAAUUAAAUGUAUACAAAUCAGCAGUCUAGGGGAAGUGGGUCCCCAGACAUUGAGGAAAGGUAAUGAACUUGCUGAACUAUUAGUGACUCUUUGGGAAAACGAAGGAGAAAUGGAAGUGGGGAAGGUAGAAUGGAGUCCAGCUAAGGCAAAGAAAAAAAAAAGCUCAAUUUUGUAUUGAUGUCUAGCCUAAAUGAAUACUCAUUCAGUUAUUGUCUAAAGGAUUCCUGGUUAGAUACAUGUUGGGCUAGAUGUCUUCUGAGGUCCUUUCCAACGCAAAAGUCUUUAUCACCUAAGAGGCAGAAGGAGAAAUACCCACUAUAAAUUGUUCUUCAGUCUAUUUGCAUACAUUUGGUAGUGGGGAACUUACUGCUUUGUGUUGGGUUAGGAUAGGAUAGAGACCUGUGAUUUCAGUAAUCUAGGGAACUCCUGAAUGAAGAAACCUUCAGGUUAAUGCAGACUCAAACUUUUAUUUCAACUUCCACGAAAAGGCUGAGUUACAGGGAGCUAGCUGGCUCAGUGGAUUGAAAGCCAGACCCAGAGAGGGGAGGUCCUGGGUUCAAAUGUGACCUUCCUUGCCAUGUAACCCUGGACAAGUCACUUAACCUCCAUUGUCUAGCCCUAACCUCUUUUCUGCUUUGGAACAAAUACACAGUAUUGAUUCUAAGACAGAAGGUAAGAGUUUAAAAUUGUGUUUUAAUUCUUUAAAAAAGGUUAAGUCACUUGGCCAGUGUCACACAGAUAGUAUGUGUCAGAGGUAGGACUCACCAGGCUGCACUUCUAGCUCAUCUCCAGAGGACUUUCUCUAAAACCUCUUCACCUGGAAGUCCACUUCAUCUCUGGACUCUCUCACCUUGGAAUUAAUUGUCUAGUUCUUCCCAGAAUCUCUAAUCUGUGGAGGAGCCCUCCUCUCAGGGACUUUGUCUACCUGAUCCUUUUGGGUACCUUCCCUAAUCUCUUUUCAGCUCUCAUUGUCUUUCUCCAGGAGAAUGUAAGCUCUCGGAGAGCCAGAACUAUCUUUCUACUUAUAUUUGUAUUCUCACACAGUGUCUAGCACAAUAAAUGCUCAUUGACCAACUGCUGACUGACUUAC